AGAGUUUGAUCCUGGCUCAGGAUGAACGCUGGCGGCGUGCCUAACACAUGCAAGUCGAGCGAUUCUCUUCGGAGAAGAGCGGCGGACGGGUGAGUAACGCGUGGGUAACCUGCCCUGUACACACGGAUAACAUACCGAAAGGUAUGCUAAUACGGGAUAACAUAUUUUGAUGGCAUCAUCGAAAUAUCAAAGCUCCGGCGGUACAGGAUGGACCCGCGUCUGAUUAGUUAGUUGGUGAGGUAAUGGCUCACCAAGGCGACGAUCAGUAGCCGACCUGAGAGGGUGAUCGGCCACAUUGGAACUGAGACACGGUCCAAACUCCUACGGGAGGCAGCAGUGGGAAAUAUUGCACAAUGGGCGAAAGCCUGAUGCAGCAACGCCGCGUGAGCGAUGAAGGCCUUCGGGUCGUAAAGCUCUGUCCUCAAGGAAGGUAAUGACGGUACUUGAGGAGGAAGCCCCGGCUAACUACGUGCCAGCAGCCGCGGUAAUACGUAGGGGGCUAGCGUUAUCCGGAAUUACUGGGCGUAAAGGGUGCGUAGGUGGUUUUUUAAGUCAGAAGUGAAAGGCUACGGCUCAACCGUAGUAAGCUUUUGAAACUGAGAAACUUGAGUGCAGGAGAGGAGAGUAGAAUUCCUAGUGUAGCGGUGAAAUGCGUAGAUAUUAGGAGGAAUACCAGUUGCGAAGGCGGCUCUCUGGACUGUAACUGACACUGAGGCACGAAAGCGUGGGGAGCAAACAGGAUUAGAUACCCUGGUAGUCCACGCCGUAAACGAUGAGUACUAGGUGUCGGGGGGUUACCCCCCUCGGUGCCGCAGCUAACGCAUUAAGUACUCCGCCUGGGAAGUACGCUCGCAAGAGUGAAACUCAAAUGAAU
rnacentral:rRNA from 1 species